AUGAGGCGGCUCCAGCCUGUUUCCACAGGUGAUGUCUUCCAGGUAGACCUUGGACUGGCCGAGGUUGCUGCUCCGGUGCACCCAGCGCCGGUGCCGAGGAGCCUGCGGGUUCGCGGUGUGGCCGGAAGCGCGCGUGAGGCGGACUUUGAGGAAACCAGUGUCUCACAGUUAGGCGGGAGGGCCGAGUUUCUCUGGCUGUUUAAGCCCCACACCGCUCCGUCCACGUCCACACUCACUGAAUGCUGGAAUCGUGCCCUGCAACAGAAGGAGGCCAAACAAACUAGAUUCUUAUAUCAGCAUUUGAAAACAUUGUGACCACAAUGGCAAAACUGAGAAGAGAAAGCGACAUUUCACAUAAUGCAAUGUUUCGUAAUAUUUAACAGAAAUUGUUUUUCUACCAUUGCAAAGAAGAAAUAGUCCUAUGGAAACCAGUAUCUCUUCUGUCCUUUUUGAACGUGUUUUCUGGAUAGAGGUGCUAAGCAGAGCAAAGGCCACGAAAGCAACUACAUCACAACAUGUGUUAAAAAGUAGCAGUGCAAGGACUUCCUCUAGCCGUGGUGCGAGGCACGUUCAGUGGAGAAUGGGCUUCUGGGGAUGUGAAAUCAGCAUGCGGUAAUUCUAACUCAGAAUCUGGAACCUCAGCCUGGGGAGAUGCUACUAUUCAGUCCAAGUGUCACCAACACCUUCACCUUUGCAUCGAGCUAACAUAUUUGAAUACAAACAGGAUAUAACUUUCUGAAGAACACCCUUAACACUGAACAAUCCAAGGGUUAUCGUGUUUAAUUUUUACUUCAAAUUUUUGUGUAAAAAAAGCAUAAAACACCAAAACAUCGUACAGAUUCCUCUCUGCCCACCGACUUUAUAAAGCCUGUACAAUUUGGUGUGGAUCAGGCCAGCAUCAGGUUUCAACGUGGAGACCCCUUGCUCACUAAGGCAGUUCCUUCCUCGGACACGAGGUGGCGCCACCCGCAGUUCUAAGGGCGCUGGCGGGGCUUAGGCGCGGAGCCGGGAGCCCGGAGCAGGAGCGCAGGGCCCCUGGGACACCGGACCUUGGCGCGGGGCACGGGGUGACGCGAGAGAGGGAAGACAGCUUUCCAGACGCACAGCUUG
rnacentral:lncRNA from 1 species